UCCUACGGGAGGCAGCAGUGGGGAAUUUUGGACAAUGGGCGCAAGCCUGAUCCAGCAAUGCCGCGUGAGUGAAGAAGGCCUUCGGGUUGUAAAGCUCUUUUGUCAGGGAAGAAAAGGCGCCGGCUAAUAUCCGGUGCUAAUGACGGUACCUGAAGAAUAAGCACCGGCUAACUACGUGCCAGCAGCCGCGGUAAUACGUAGGGUGCAAGCGUUAAUCGGAAUUACUGGGCGUAAAGCGUGCGCAGGCGGUUUUGUAAGUCUGACGUGAAAUCCCCGGGCUUAACCUGGGAAUUGCGAUGGAGACUGCAGGGCUAGAAUCUGGCAGAGGGGGGUAGAAUUCCACGUGUAGCAGUGAAAUGCGUAGAGAUGUGGAGGAACACCGAUGGCGAAGGCAGCCCCCUGGGUCAAGAUUGACGCUCAUGCACGAAAGCGUGGGGAGCAAACAGGAUUAGAUACCCUGGUAGUCCACGCCCUAAACGAUGUCUACUAGUUGUCGGGUCUUAAUUGACUUGGUAACGCAGCUAACGCGUGAAGUAGACCGCCUGGGGAGUACGGUCGCAAGAUUAAAACUCAAAGGAAUUGACGGA
rnacentral:rRNA from 1 species